CUAUUAGAUAAUAAUUACAUUGUACAUAACCUUAACAGACCUGAUGGAUAUGGAGGAACCUCCUUUAUUAUACAUAAGUCAAUUUCAUAUAAUGUUGUUACAGAAUAUAACGAUAACUAUACACAAAUGCAAGCAAUACAGAUGACAUUGUUUUAUACUCCUCUGGAAAACAUAUCGAGACAGUCUACACAAACAUGCAACACACUCUCAGCACAGUACAAUCAAACUUCAGUCAACUCCAUCUGGAAUUCAAUGCAACCAAAAGUAAGAUGAUUUCAAAGCCUACCAACGGAG